rnacentral:rRNA from 1 species
GACGAACGCUGGCGGCGUGCUUAACACAUGCAAGUCGAACGGAAAGGCCCUGCUUUUGUGGGGUGCUCGAGUGGCGAACGGGUGAGUAACACGUGAGUAACCUGCCCUUGACUUUGGGAUAACUUCAGGAAACUGGGGCUAAUACCGGAUAGGAGCUCCUGCUGCAUGGUGGGGGUUGGAAAGUUUCGGCGGUUGGGGAUGGACUCGCGGCUUAUCAGCUCGUUGGUGGGGUAGUGGCUUACCAAGGCUUUGACGGGUAGCCGGCCUGAGAGGGUGACCGGCCACAUUAGGACUGAGAUACGGCCCAGACUCCUACGGGAGGCAGCAGUGGGGAAUAUUGCACAAUGGUCGGAAGCCUGAUACAGCAACGCCGCGUGCGGGAUGACGGCCUUCGGGUUGUAAACCGCUUUCGCCUGUGACGAAGCGUGAGUGACGGUAAUGAGUAAAGAAGCACCGGCUAACUACGUG